GAUGAAGAACGUAGCGAAAUGCGAUAAGUAAUGUGAAUUGCAGAAUUCAGUGAAUCAUCGAAUCUUUGAACGCAUCUUGCGCUCCUUGGUAUUCUGAGGAGCAUGCCUGUUUGAGUGUCAUUAAAUUCUCAACUACACUGACUUUGAAUUGGUGUGGCUUGGAUUUGGGGGGAAAAUUGUUGGGGGCUUUUUGUAUAGUCUGCUCCCCUGAAAUUGAUUAGCGGUACCUUUGUGGAACUGUCUACAGGUGUGAUAAUUAUCUACAUCUUAGACAUCUGCUGGAAUGCUGCUUUCUAAACCUUACUUGUAUUGACAAUCUUGACCUCAAAUCAGGUAGGACUACCCGCUGAACUUAAGCAUAUCAAUAAGCGGAGGA
rnacentral:misc_RNA from 1 species